rnacentral:rRNA from 1 species
ACCUACGGGUGGCUGCAGUGGGGAAUUUUGGACAAUGGGGGCAACCCUGAUCCAGCCAUGCCGCGUGAGUGAAGAAGGCCUUCGGGUUGUAAAGCUCUUUCGGCCGGGAAGAAAUCGUGCGGGCUAAUACCCUGUAUGGAUGACGGUACCGGAAGAAGAAGCACCGGCUAACUACGUGCCAGCAGCCGCGGUAAUACGUAGGGUGCGAGCGUUAAUCGGAAUUACUGGGCGUAAAGCGUGCGCAGGCGGUUUCGUAAGACAGAUGUGAAAUCCCCGGGCUUAACCUGGGAACUGCGUUUGUGACUGCGAGACUUGAGUGCGGCAGAGGGGGGUGGAAUUCCACGUGUAGCAGUGAAAUGCGUAGAGAUGUGGAGGAACACCGAUGGCGAAGGCAGCCCCCUGGGUCGACACUGACGCUCAUGCACGAAAGCGUGGGGAGCAAACAGGAUUAGAUACCCUGGUAGUCGCG